AUGGCCGGUGGUAAAGGAGUUCAGCAGCGCACCACCUCGGGUGGUUCCCAGGCGCGGCCAUCACAGGACGGCUCCCAGUCGCCGGCUCCGGAGGAGCGGCGAGGGCGCAGCCGCUCCAGGCGCGGCCAUCGCGGUGAGGUCGUGGUUAGGGAGGUCGUGCGCGAGACCGCGGUCAGUGGUAGCGUACCCAUCACCUUCCCGAUGCUCACACGCUCGAACUACAGCGAGUGGGCGUUGAUCAUGGAGUGCAACCUCCAUGCGGCGAGCCUCUGGGCUCCUAUGGAGGACGACCUGGUGGAGAGAAAGGAGGACAGGAAAGCGGUGGCAGCACUCAUGCGCGCCACGCCGCCGGAGAUGCACGGCAUGCUCGCGGCGAAGGCAAGCGCCAAGGAGGCGUGGGAAGCCAUCCGUACCCAGCGCCUCGGCAGCAACCACGUGCGCGAGGCGAACGCGCAGAAGCUGCGGGCGGACUUCGAGAACAUCGCCUUCAAGGAGGGCGAGCUCGUCGACAACUUCGCCAUGCGGAUCUCCAGCCUUGCGUCACAGCUCCGCGCGCUCGGCGACACCAUGGACGACGCGAGAGUCGUGCGGAAAUUUCUCCGCGUCGUUCCAUCUCGUUUCGCUCAGGUAGCGGUCUCCAUCGAGACUUUGCUUGACCUGAGCGAGCUCUCCAUCGAGGAGCUCACGGGCCGGUUGCGGGUGGUCGAGGACCGCCUUGAUGACGGCCGCGAGAGCUUCGGCGGCGGACAACUCCUAUUCUCGAAGAAGUGGGAGGCGAGGAAGCGUCAAGGACGUGGUGGCGGUGCCCAGAGCAGCGGAGGCGGCACCGGCAGAGGCGGCGGUCGCACCCAGGGUGGAGCCGGACGAGGUGCCGGCAACGACGACCGAGACAAGUGCCGAUAUUGCAGCAUCAAGGGCCACUGGGCCCGUGAGUGCCACAAGAGGAUGGCUGACGAGGAUGCCGCGGCCGCGGCGAACCUCGUCGAGGCUGAAGAAGACGGUGGGCCAGCAAUGAUGAUGGCUUGCGUCGAGACCAUGCAGGAGGGCGGAGUGCCUCCGGCGACCAUGGUCCUGAUAAGCAUCGAAGCCGUGCAGGAGGGCGCAGCACCUCCGGCGACCACGGUGCCGACAACCGUUAAGUCCGUGCGGGAGGCACGGAGCUCUUCAAGUAAUCCCCUCUCGACAUCGGUAGCGCUCUCCUCGGCAACAACGUUCUCGGGAGGCUACGAUUGGGAGGAGAUGAAGACCCGGGUGUGGGGGAGCCACACCCCGGAAACCACGUCCCCUGCGACGCUGGUCAAGCCCGUGCAAGUUGGCACGGCAAAGGCGUACCCGACAUCCUCGGGACCCAAUAAGCCCGUGUCAGGAGGCACGGCAACGACGCAUAUGGUGGGCCAUGUCCCAACCAUGAUGCUGGUGACCAGUGAGACCGUGCAAGAGGCACGACACUCUCAGGUCGGCCAUACCCCGACAACCAGGUUCUCGGGGUUCUGCAAGCCCGUGUGGGCAACACGGCACUCUUCGACGGGCCUCAACAGCUGGGAGGCCAUGAAGAGAAGGUCAUGGGGCGGCAAGGCCUCGACCGUGACUCUGGCGACCAUCGAGGCUGUGCAGGAGGCGCGGUGCUCUAUGGUCAGCCACGCAGCAACCCUGACGCGCUCGGGGUCCAUCGAGUCCGUGCAGAAGGCACGACUCACAACUGUCGGAGGAGAUCCGACAAGCAAGUCUGAUGGGAAGAGCACCAAGGACUCCGCUACCCUGAGAGGAGCCACUCCGGUCAGUGUGGCGUCCGGCACAACGACCCCGGGAAGGGAGUUCCCGGGCAGUGCGGUGUCCGGCACAACGACCCCAGGAAGGGAGUUCCUGGGUAGUGCGAUGUCCGACAAGUCAUCCCCGAGAAGGGAGUUCCUGGGUAGCAUGACGUCCGACACGAUGACCGCGGGAAGGGAGUUCCAUGGCAUUGUGACGUCAGGAACUACGUCCCCAGGAACACUGACGCCCACAGGCGAGGUGGUUCCCGGGCAUGUCAUGUCCCCGCCAACAGCGUGGUCGGACCUGUUCGAUGCCGACAACAACGUUGGCACUCCACACAGGUUCCGACGCCCAGAGGGUUAUUCUCGGCGAGCCUGCGGGACGAUCGCAGCACUGCGAGAUCAAGAAGGACGAGCACGGCGUACGGGCUACACAAACCAUGAGAAGGCUGACAUCCCAAAGAAGGCACUUGGUCGCAUUCGGUUCCGGGAACCACGCGACAAGAUCGGGAUCAUGGAAACAAGCUCCUUCGACAAGGUUGAGGAGGAGAUUGUUGGGUCAAACCUUGUCUCGGAGGCAUGCAUGCAGCGGCAGCAGCAGCAAAUACUUUGCUAG
rnacentral:rRNA from 1 species